rnacentral:ribozyme from 1 species
UGGAAAGACUUGAGCCAAAAUGGCUACGGACCUUGAGCCAAAAUGGCUAC